GAGUUAGUCAUGAUUAUAAAAAUAAUUUUUCGUUCUGACUUGCUUAAUUUGGGCAUUACAAACUUUUUAUUACAACCAUAGAGUCUUAGCUAC
rnacentral:snoRNA from 1 species